AUUAAGUUUUAUUAAAUAUACUGUAAUCUAGAAUAUAUAGAAUUUAUCAAAUGUAAUGUUACAUUAAAAUGUUUGCAUGAAAAAAUUGUUUUGUAUCAUAUUUAUAUUCUUAAAUGUUACAUUAUUGGCACACUUAUUUCUAUGAGCAAAAUAACGCAUUAAUCAGGCACAUCCGAUCAUUAUUUAUAGAAUUAUAGCACUAAACUGAAUUUGUUUUGUUUUUUUUUUAUGUGAUAAUAAG